rnacentral:rRNA from 1 species
AUACGGAGUUACAAAGGAAAUGAUUAGACGAAUGGUUUUGGAAAAGCCAACCAUAGAAGGUAAAGGUCCUGUAGUCGAAAGUCAUUUCUCUCCUGAGUGGAUCCUGAGUACGGCGGAACACGUGAAAUUCCGUCGGAAUCUGGGAGGACCAUCUCCCAAGGCUAAAUACUCUCUAGUGACCGAUAGUGAACCAGUACCGUGAGGGAAAGGUGAAAAGCACCCCGGAAGGGGAGUGAAAUAGAACCUGAAACCGUGUGCUUACAAAUAGUCAGAGCCCGUUAAUGGGUGAUGGCGUGCCUUUUGUAGAAUGAACCGGCGAGUUACGAUUUGAUGCAAGGUUAAGCAGUAAAUGUGGAGCCGUAGCGAAAGCGAGUCUGAAUAGGGCGAAUGAGUAUCUGGUCGUAGACCCGAAACCAAGUGAUCUACCCAUGUCCAGGUUGAAGUUCAGGUAACACUGAAUGGAGGACCGAACCGACUUACGUUGAAAAGUGAGCGGAUGAGGUGUGGGUAGCGGAGAAAUUCCAAUCGAACUUGGAGAUAGCUGGUUCUCUCCGAAAUAGCUUUAGGGCUAGCCUCAAGUGAUGAUUAUUGGAGGUAGAGCACUGUUUGGACGAGGGGCCCCUCUCGGGUUACCGAAUUCAGACAAACUCCGAAUGCCAAAUAAUUUAACUUGGGAGUCAGACUAUGGGUGAUAAGGUCCGUAGUCGAAAGGGAAACAGCCCAGACCACCAGCUAAGGUCCCAAAAUAUAUGUUAAGUGGAAAAGGAUGUGGCGUUGCCCAGACAACUAGGAUGUUGGCUUAGAAGCAGCCAUCAUUUAAAGAGUGCGUAAUAGCUCACUAGUCGAGUGACACUGCGCCGAAAAUGUACCGGGGCUAAACAUAUUACCGAAGCUGUGGAUU